CACGUAGGGCGCGAGCGUUGUCCGGAAUUAUUGGGCGUAAAGAGCUCGUAGGCGGCCUGUUGCGUCCGCUGUGAAAGCCCGGGGCUUAACCCCGGGUCGGCAGUGGAUACGGGCAGGCUAGAGGUAGGUAGGGGAGAAUGGAAUUCCCGGUGUAGCGGUGAAAUGCGCAGAUAUCGGGAGGAACACCGGUGGCGAAGGCGGUUCUCUGGGCCUUACCUGACGCUAAGGAGCGAAAGCGUGGGGAGCGAACAGG
rnacentral:rRNA from 1 species